CCUACGGGAGGCAGCAGUGAGGAAUAUUGGUCAAUGGACGCGAGCCUGAACCAGCCAAGUAGCGUGAAGGAUGACUGCCCUAUGGGUUGUAAACUUCUUUUAUAUGGGAAUAAAAUGCAGUACGUAUACUUUUUUGCAUGUACCUUAUGAAUAAGGAUCGGCUAACUCCGUGCCAGCAGCCGCGGUAAUACGGAGGAUCCGAGCGUUAUCCGGAUUUAUUGGGUUUAAAGGGAGCGUAGGUGGGUUGUUAAGUCAGUUGUGAAAGUUUGCGGCUCAACCGUAAAAUUGCAGUUGAUACUGGCAUGCUUGAGUGCAGUAGAGGUAGGCGGAAUUCGUGGUGUAGCGGUGAAAUGCUUAGAUAUCACGAAGAACUCCGAUUGCGAAGGCAGUUUGCUGGACUGUAACUGACGCUGAGGCUCGAAAGUGUGGGUAUCAAACAGGAUUAGAUACCCGAGUAGUC
rnacentral:rRNA from 1 species